rnacentral:rRNA from 1 species
UACAGAGGGGGCAAGCGUUAUUCGGAAUUAUUGGGCGUAAAGGGCGCGUAGGCGGCCUGCUAAGUCGGACGUGAAAUCCCCCGGCUCAACCGGGGAACUGCGUCCGAUACUGGUGGGCUCGAAUCCGGGAGGGGGAUGUGGAAUUCCAGGUGUAGCGGUGAAAUGCGUAGAUAUCUGGAGGAAUACCGGUGGCGAAGGCGGCAUCCUGGACCGACAUUGACGCUGAGGAGCGAAAGCUAGGGGAGCAAACGGG